CGUUAAACACGCUGCUACGGGCUGAUCCUAGAACAGCGAUUUCAAGCGCUUUAGUCCACAGCUCGAACUACGACAGGUCUUCGACACUUCCGGUAUUUUUACGGCAGCCUGCUGGUUUCCUUCCUUCGACAAGCAGAGGUGUCAGCUGGCUGAGAGGUGACAUGUACACACAGCAAAUAAAACAGACAAGCGACCGUCGAAAUAAACUCUAGCAGGAACACGCGGUUACGCGACAAAAACAUUGUUUCGAGGCAAC